CAGUGAUAAACUGGAGGAAGGUGGGGAUGACGUCAAGUCAUCAUGGCCCUUACGAGUAGGGCUACACACGUGCUACAAUGGCAUAUACAAAGAGAAGCGACCUCGCGAGAGCAAGCGGACCUCAUAAAGUAUGUCGUAGUCCGGAUUGGAGUCUGCAACUCGACUCCAUGAAGUCGGAAUCGCUAGUAAUCGUAGAUCAGAAUGCUACGGUGAAUACGUUCCCGGGCCUUGUACACACCGCCCGUCACACCAUGGGAGUGGGUUGCAAAAGAAGUAGGUAGCUUAACCUUCGGGA
rnacentral:rRNA from 1 species